AAAUUGAAGAGUUUGAUCAUGGCUCAGAUUGAACGCUGGCGGCAGGCCUAACACAUGCAAGUCGAACGGUAACAGGAAGCAGCUUGCUGUUUCGCUGACGAGUGGCGGACGGGUGAGUAAUGUCUGGGAAACUGCCUGAUGGAGGGGGAUAACUACUGGAAACGGUAGCUAAU
rnacentral:rRNA from 1 species